GACGAACGCUGGCGGCGUGGAUUAGGCAUGCAAGUCGAACGGUAUCAUCCUUUCGGGGGUGAGAGAGUGGCGAACUGGUGAGUAACACGUAGGUUAUCUACCCUCAAGACGGGGACAACCCAGGGAAACUUGGGCUAAUACCGGAUGUGAGCAACUUUUAGUUGUUUGAAAGGUGGCGUAAGCUGUCGCUUGGGGAUGAGCCUGCGUCCUAUUAGUUAGUUGGUGAGGUAACGGCUCACCUAGGCAAUGAUAGGUAGGCGGCCUUAACGGGUGGUCGCCCACACUGGGGAUUGAGAUACGGGCCCAGACUCCUACGGGAGGCAGCAGUCGAGAAUAGUCUACAAUGGUCGGAAGACUGAUAGUGCGACGCCGCGUGAACGAUGAAUCCCUUCGGGGUGUAAAGUUCUUUUAUAUGUGAGCAGUGCUUCUUAUAUUAACAGUAUGGGGAGAGAGAUAUUAGCAUAUGAAUAAGCAACGGCUAACUCCGUGCCAGCAGCCGGGUAAA
rnacentral:rRNA from 1 species